rnacentral:rRNA from 1 species
AGGAGUUUGAUCCUGGCUCAGGAUUGAACGCUGGCGGUAUGCUUAACACAUGCAAGUCGCACGGCAGCAUGUCUAGUAGCAAUACUAGGAUGAUGGCGAGUGGCGGACGGGUGAGAAACGCGUAGGAAUCUGCCUUGGAAGAGGGGGACAACUGGGAGGAAACUCCAGCUAAUACCGCAUAAUACUCUACGGAGGAAAUGGUGGGUAGCAAUACCUGUCGCUUUAAGGAGGAGCCUGCGUCCGGAUUAGCUAGUUGGUAGGGUAAAAGCCUACCAAGGCGGAUGAUCGGUAGCUGGUCUGAGAGGAUGAUCAGCCACACUGGGGACUGGAGACACGGGCCCAGACUCCUACGGGGAGGCAGCAGUGGGGGAAUAUUGGACAAUGGGGGCAACCCUGGAUCCAGCAAUACCGCGUGUGUGAAGAAGGCCUUCGGGUG